rnacentral:rRNA from 1 species
UGAGUAACCUGCCCUUAACUCUGGGAUAAGCCUGGGAAACUGGGUCUAAUACCGGAUAUGACUCCUCAUCGCAUGGUGGGGGGUGGAAAGCUUUUUGUGGUUUUGGAUGGACUCGCGGCUUAUCAGCUUGUUGGUGAGGUAAUGGCUCACCAAGGCGACGACGGGUAGCCGGCCUGAGAGGGUGACCGGCCACACUGGGACUGAGACACGGCCCAGACUCCUACAGGAGGCAG